AAUUCUGGCAGAAAACUAUCUUGCCUCAAGUUGAUCUUUGGCUGCUCCUGAUUGGAUGCUACCGUCAAAAAACAAAAGAAGAAGAAAUAGUAGCAUCUGAUUGGUCGAGAGACUGACCAGAAGUCGUCAUUGUUUACGUCAAGCCCAUAGACUGUUUAUAAAAACGGUCAAGCCUCACAAUGGAGGUCCGGUAUCAUAAUUUACACGUUUUUAAUCACAAAAUGUAAUAUUUAAUUACUAUCGCGGAGUUAUCACGGUGGAUUUACUGUAGCCUAGGCUACGAGGUUCUUGGGAGAGAAAAAAAAACUCUGCACUUAACGGCUGGAUUGAAAACUUUCUCGAAAAGAUUGUCCUGAGCCCACCGUAGAUCGCCAAAAGAGUAGACCAGCAUGCAGGCCAGAGCCAGAACCAGCACUGCAAUCACCAGGCCGACAAUCCACCAGUAAGAUGUCUCCUUCGGACUACUGUGCUUACCUGCACACAGAACGCUCCCCCUGAGGAUCAGUGUGGCAUUGCCACGGGAUAUCAAGUGUGGGAAAACUGAGGUGCGGCCAGC